CUCCAAGGCUAAACACUCCUGGUGACCGAUAGCGAACUAGUACCGUGAGGGAAAGGUGAAAAGCACCCCGGAAGGGGAGUGAAAUAGAACUGAAACCAUGCGCCUACAAACCGUAGGAGUUCCGAUUUAUCGGGAUGACUGCGUGCCUAUUGAAGAAUUACCCGGCGAGUCACUCUACGCAGCAAGGUUAAGGGGUGAAGCCCUGGAGCCAAAGCGAAAGCGAGUCUGAAUAGGGCGUUAAGUUGUGUGGAGUGGGCCCGAAACCGUGCGAUCUACCCAUGGCCAGGCUGAAGCGGAAGUAAUAUUUCGUGGAGGGCCGAACCCGUCAGUGUUGCAAAACUGUGGGAUGAGCUGUGGGUAGUGGUGAAAUGCCAAACGAGCUCGGAGAUAGCUGGUUCUCCCCGAAAUGUAUUUAGGUACAGCCUCGGGAGCUACUUCGCGGAGGUAGAGUACUGAAUGGGCUAGGGGCCGUGAGGUUACCGAACCCAAUCAAACUCCGAAUGCCGCGAAGGGUACCCCGGGAGUGAGACAGCGACGGAUAAGCGCCGUUGUCAAAAGGGAAACAGCCCAGACCGCAGGCUAAGGUCCCUGAGUGCGUGCUAAGUGUGCAAGGCAGUGGAACCGCUCAGACAGCCAGGAGGUUGGCUUAGAAGCAGCCAUCCUUUAAAGAGUGCGUAAUAGCUCACUGGUCGAGGGGUUCCGCACCGACAAUAAACGGGGCUCAAGCACGCCACCGAAGCCGCGGAUUCUGGCGAAAGCCAGAGUGGUAGGGGAGCAUUCCCUCUGCAGCGAAGUCCGUCUGUAAAGACGGGUGGAGCGGAGGGAAGAGAGAAUGCCGGGAUGAGUAGCGACAAUCCAGGUGAGAAUCCUGGACGCUGGAAGUUCAAGGUUUCCUACGCAACGCUGAUCGUCGUAGGGUUAGGCGGUCCUAAGGGGGAGCCUACGGGCACAACCGAUGGACAGCUGGUCAAAAUUCCAGCCCCGUCCCAGAUCCGUUGACAGGCGGGAGGACGCGGAAAGGUAAGCGCCGCAUACCCAUUGGACAUGGUGUGUGCCUUCUUGUAGGGAGCCCUGGGGUGAAAACCCGGGACGUUUGCACCGAGGAGAGGGCUGACUUCGCGGUUCGCCGCGAGGAAAGACGCUGACCCUAUGCCGCCAAGAAAAUCCCCGCCCGAGGGCCUGGGGCGACCGUACCGCAAACCGACACAGGUGAACAGGGGUAAGUGCCCCCAAGCGAACGAGAGAACCAUCCUGAAGGAACUCGGCAAUUUAACCCCGUAACUUAGGGAUAAGGGGUGCCCUGAACGUGUAAGGCGUACGCCCGAAGCGUUUUGGGUCGCAGAAAAUUGGGUCAAGUGACUGUUUAACUAAAACACAGGUCUGUGCUAAGGCGAAAGCCUACGUAUACAGGCUGACAUGUGCCCAGUGUCGGUAGGUUAAGGAGAGGGGUGCAAGCUCCGAACCGAAGCCCCGAUGAACGGCGGCCGUAACUAUAACGGUCCUAAGGUAGCGAAGUCCCUUGUCGGGUAAGUUCCGACCCGCACGAAUCAUGUAACAACUUGACCAGUGUCUCGAGGAUGGACUCGGUGAAAUUGCAGGACCCGUGAAGAUGCGGGUUUCCCGCGGCAGGACAAAAAGACCCCGUAGAGCUUUACUGUACCUUGGCAUUGAGUAAGGAAUAAGGUUGUGUAGGAUAGCCGGGAGGCUUUGAAGCUUGGGCGCUAGCUCGGGCUGAGCCAACGUUGAAAUACCGGCCUGCCUUGUUCCUAACUCUAACUCGCAAGAGGACAAUGCCUGGCUGACAGUUUGACUGGGGCGGUCGCCUCCCAAAGAGUAACGGAGGCGCCCAAAGGUCUCCUCAGGCUGGAUGGAAAUCAGCCGUUGAGUGCAUUGGCAUAAGGAGGCUUGACUGCGAGACAUACAAGUCGAGCAGGGACGAAAGUCGGGCAAAGUGAUCCCACGGUACCGAGUGGAAGGGCCGUGGCUUAACGGAUAAAAGCUACCCCGGGGAUAACAGGCUGAUCUUGCCCAAGAGUUCACAUCGACGGCAAGGUUUGGCACCUCGAUGUCGGCUCGUCGCAUCCUGGGGCUGGAGUAGGUCCCAAGGGUUGGGCUGUUCGCCCAUUAAAGCGGUACGCGAGCUGGGUUCAGAACGUCGUGAGACAGUUCGGUCCCUAUCCACCAUGGGC
rnacentral:rRNA from 1 species